rnacentral:rRNA from 1 species
UACAGAGGGGGCAAGCGUUGUCCGGAAUUACUGGGCGUACAGCGCGCGCAGGCGGUUGUCAACGUGCCGUGUGACAAGCGGGGGCUCAACCCCCGAGGGCCACGGUACACGGGGCGACUGGAGGCAGGGAGAGGGAUGUGGAAUGCCCGGUGGAGCGGUGAAAUGCGUAGAGCUCGGGAAGAACAUCGGUGGCGAAAGCGCUCUACUGGACUGCAACUGACACUCAGGGACGAAAGCUAGGGGAGCGAAUGGG